CAUUCAAAUUAAUAUAGUUAAUUAGUUGCAGUUGUGUUAUAUUUUCGAUUAAUUAGCAGUUUUUAAAUAUUUUUUUUAAUUCCUAAAUUUACUAAACUGACUUAGCUGUGAAACUUCCUCACUGAGAUAGGGUACUAAAACUAUAGUUGGCCAUGUAUGACAGCACCACGCAUAACUUUGAAAAGUUUUCAGUAUAUGUUUAGACUGUGCUUGUAUUAUGUGUUUCCUUCUUUACAAUUUUGUAUUUCCCGCGGGAAACAAGGAUCUCUUCGCGUCCGUGUUGGCUAUUGUAGCAUUUUUCAUAGAAGAAGGAAGUCAUUAAAACAAACAAAUAACAAGUAUCAAAGAACUUUUCUUAUUUUCGUUGAAACUUGGAACAUUAUUUCUAAGAUUGGCAUGAAGAAGAGCAUGAAUCCCUUAUAGUUAAAUGAAGAUAAAAUCCAGUCUGAUGUUACUAAAUUGGCAAACGCAUUUAGUAAUGAAAAAUAUAAACUAACAUGUAUUCGUAUAAUUUAAAAUUUUUCAUUACUUAAUCUCGUUUUCUGAGCUUGGAGUUGAAAACAGCAAUUCUAGAAGAGGUACUUAAUUUAACACUCUGAGAGAAGUGCGAGACUUCAGACGCGCAGCUAUAUAUACCUUAGUCUUUGCUUUUUUGCUGGGUGGAACUAAAGCUGUCUCAUAUUCUGGUGAUUUAACGCCCUUAAUGCGACGUCUCAAUUUGUAAGCUAUUUAAGUACCGCUACGGGGCAUCACACGACUCACAAGGGAGCUCAGCGUUCCUGAAUCGUUGGUUCAUAUGAGAACCACAAUUAAUACUCUCUUUGGAAGUCUGAAGUUCCUUGAUUCUCUAACUGUACAGUUUGUAAUUUAUUUUCUAAAAUAUUUUUGUCACAGGUAAAGAUAUAGCAAAGAAAUAAUUGUCAGUGAUUUAAUUUAAAAACUCAAAAAAGUUAAUUAAGGUAAAUUUAGCAAAUUAAGGUAAACUUAGCAAAUUGUGGUAACGUUUCCAAGAUAUGUUGACGCAACAUUGCAUGAUGCAUUUUAUACAAAGAGACCAAACAAAACCACAUUUGAAAUUAUAAGCAGGAUGAAUGGUUGGCUGUCAAGGGUCAUUGAUUGAAAUGGUGGGCACAGAGAAAAGAACAGGAAGAAAGUUAUUGCAAGCGAAACUUUGGACGUCGAACGCGCAAAUCUGCUUUGUAAAAUGUUAAAUGUAUUGUAAAAAGAAUGUAAAAUGUUUGCUUGUCAUGCAUUAAUAUCAAUAACGUUUUGUUCCUUUUCAAAACUAAUACUUUGUUAUUGAAAAAUAAACAAGAACUUUUUUUUAAAAAUUGCAAUUCAAGAUUUCAU